GUGCUUGCUUCAGCGGGAUAUAUACUAUAAUUGGAAUGAUACAGAAAAGAUUAACAUGGCCCCUGCACAAGGAUGACAUGCAGAUUUGUGAAGCGUUCCAUAUUUUU
ensembl:snRNA U6 U6 spliceosomal RNA